CCUGGCUUUCGCUGGACCUUGUCCCGGCCCCACACUGCGGUAGCUGGAUUACAGGGAGCGGCUCUAGGAACAUCAUGCUAGUCAAGUAAGAGCCUGCAUUAGCAGGUCAUGUCUGCUGUUGUGAUUGUGGCUGAGAUGCUUCACCGUGGUGAUAUGUAGCUGCACAGAACUGGACAAACUUGCAAAAAGAAACCUGGAUCCACUUGUGUUUGAAUUAAAGGGUAAAGUCCACUUGUGUUUGAAAAAAAGGGUUUUUCUAUUUAAAAUACUGUGAAGUGACUGUGGAAGCUCUAGAAUUGGAGGUUUAUUGAAGUUCUACUUUAAAAAAAGAAGCUGAGUUGAGGUGUUAGAGGUCAGUAUCUUUUAUCCAUUUGCCAUUUUCCUGACUUGGAGGCUGAGUUUUGUCCCCAUAUCUAGAAGUAUUGGAAGUAUCUUAACAAUUUAGCUUAUUUAGCAGGAUCGAGACAUUUCAGUUUGAAUAUCAUAUCGAACCGAAACUCAAGCGACAGAAGGCAAGUUCAUCCUAGUGGAACAUUUAUAGGAAAAUAGAAUGCCCUGCUUGAUAAGAAGAAAAGCAAUUUGACAGCAUAUGGCCUUUACCACUUUGAGCAUGU